rnacentral:rRNA from 1 species
UUGACGGAGAGUUUGAUCCUGGCUCAGGACGAACGCUGGCGGCGUGCUUAACACAUGCAAGUCGAACGAUGAUGCCCAGCUUGCUGGGCGGAUUAGUGGCGAACGGGUGAGUAAUACGUGAGUAACCUGCCCUUGACUCUGGGAUAAGCCUGGGAAACUGGGUCUAAUACUGGAUACUACCUCGCACCGCAUGGUGGGUGGUGGAAAGGGUUUUACUGGUUUUGGAUGGGCUCACGGCCUAUCAGCUUGUUGGUGGGGUAAUGGCUCACCAAGGCGACGACGGGUAGCCGGCCUGAGAGGGUGACCGGCCACACUGGGACUGAGACACGGCCCAGACUCCUACGGGAGGCAGCAGUGGGGAAUAUUGCACAAUGGGCGGAAGCCUGAUGCAGCGACGCCGCGUGAGGGAUGACGGCCUUCGGGUUGUAAACCUCUUUCAGUAGGGAAGAAGCGAGAGUGACGGUACCUGCAGAAGAAGCGCCGGCUAACUACGUGCCAGCAGCCGCGGUAAUACGUAGGGCGCAAGCGUUGUCCGGAAUUAUUGGGCGUAAAGAGCUCGUAGGCGGUUUGUCGCGUCUGCUGUGAAAGCCCGGGGCUCAACCCCGGGUCUGCAGUGGGUACGGGCAGACUAGAGUGCAGUAGGGGAGACUGGAAUUCCUGGUGUAGCGGUGAAAUGCGCAGAUAUCAGGAGGAACACCGAUGGCGAAGGCAGGUCUCUGGGCUGUUACUGACGCUGAGGAGCGAAAGCAUGGGGAGCGAACAGGAUUAGAUACCCUGGUAGUCCAUGCCGUAAACGUUGGGCACUAGGUGUGGGGGACAUUCCACGUUUUCCGCGCCGUAGCUAACGCAUUAAGUGCCCCGCCUGGGGAGUACGGCCGCAAGGCUAAAACUCAAAGGAAUUGACGGGGGCCCGCACAAGCGGCGGAGCAUGCGGAUUAAUUCGAUGCAACGCGAAGAACCUUACCAAGGCUUGACAUUCACCGGACCGCCCCAGAGAUGGGGUUUCCCUUCGGGGCUGGUGGACAGGUGGUGCAUGGUUGUCGUCAGCUCGUGUCGUGAGAUGUUGGGUUAAGUCCCGCAACGAGCGCAACCCUCGUUCUAUGUUGCCAGCACGUGAUGGUGGGGACUCAUAGGAGACUGCCGGGGUCAACUCGGAGGAAGGUGGGGAUGACGUCAAAUCAUCAUGCCCCUUAUGUCUUGGGCUUCACGCAUGCUACAAUGGCCGGUACAAAGGGUUGCGAUACUGUGAGGUGGAGCUAAUCCCAAAAAGCCGGUCUCAGUUCGGAUUGAGGUCUGCAACUCGACCUCAUGAAGUCGGAGUCGCUAGUAAUCGCAGAUCAGCAACGCUGCGGUGAAUACGUUCCCGGGCCUUGUACACACCGCCCGUCAAGUCACGAAAGUUGGUAACACCCGAAGCCGGUGGCCUAACCCCUUGUGGGAGGGAGCCGUCGAAGGUGGGACUGGCGAUUGGGACUAAGUCGUAACAAGGUAGCCGUACCGGAAGGUGCGGCUGGAUCACCUCCUUU